GCCCGUCAUUAUGUUAUUAUUCUAUAAUAAUAUCUAUAUUCUUGUCUUUCAUUUUUGUUAAUGUGAUUUGUCAUGCGUUUCUGUGUUUCUUCGAUACAUUUGACGUGGCUCUGUACUUUGUGUUAUUGUAAAAUUUGUGUAUUCUUCCGGCCUUUUUUUGCUAAUGUGCGUUUUCUAUAUGCCUUUUCGUGCUUCUUGGAUACAUACGACGUGGCUCUGUACUUGUACAUCCCGUCAUUGUGUUAUUUUGCUUUGGUAAAAUUUUGUAUUCUUGUAUUUAAUUUUUGAUAAUGCGCUUUGUGCUUCUUUGUUACAUAUUUGUUUGUUUUUACAUUAAUACGGAUUAUAAUACUAUGUUGACUGCGGAACCCCUUUUUGGACAUUUUUACCCAUUAUGUCUUUGUUUUGUUUUGUUCACACAUCGUUUUCUUUAUUAUUAAAUUUGACGAGUUUUACAUAGCAGGUUUAAUUCACCAUUUUCUACAUAGGAAAAUGCCUGUUCCAUGUCAUGAAUAUGACAGCUGUUAUCCCUUCGUCUGUUGUGUUUGAGCUUUUGAUUUUGCCAUUUGAUUUCCCUUCCUUUAG
rnacentral:lncRNA from 1 species